AACGUAGGUGGCGAGCGUUGUCCGGAAUUACUGGGCGUAAAGGGCGCGCAGGCGGCUGAUUAAGUUGUGUGUGAAAGGUUCAGGCUUAACCUGAAGAGAGCACACGAUACUGAUUGGCUUGAGUGCAGGAGAGGGCAGUGGAAUUCCUAGUGUAGCGGUGAAAUGCGUAGAUAUUAGGAGGAACACCAGUGGCGAAGGCGGCUGUCUGGACUGUAACUGACGCUGAGGCGCGAAAGCGUGGGGAGCAAACAGG
rnacentral:rRNA from 1 species